rnacentral:rRNA from 1 species
GCUUGUCUCAAAGAUUAAGCCAUGCAUGUCUUAGUGUAAAUAACUCUUAUGAAACUGCGAAUGGCUCAUUAAAUCAGUUAUCGUUUAUUUGAUGGUCCCUUACUACAUGGAUAACUGUAGUAAUUCUAGAGCUAAUACAUGCGUCAAAACCCAACUUUACGGAAGGGUCGUGUUUAUUAGAUACAAAACCAGCAUCUCGUUGGUGAGUCAUAAUAACCAAGCGAAUCGUCGGUUUACCGACGAUAGAUCGUUCAAGUUUCUGACCUAUCAGCUUUGACGGUAGGGUAUUGGCCUACCGUGGCAAUGACGGGUAACGGAGAAUUAGGGUUCGAUUCCGGAGAGGGAGCCUGAGAAACGGCUACCACAUCUAAGGAAGGCAGCAGG